UUGACGACUAUCAGACUUGGGUGA
rnacentral:siRNA from 1 species